rnacentral:rRNA from 1 species
UACGGGGGGGGCAAGCGUUGUUCGGAAUUACUGGGCGUAAAGAGCUUGUAGGCGGUUUGUCGCGUCUGCCGUGAAAAUUCGAGGCUCAACCUCGAACUUGCGGUGGGUACGGGCAGACUAGAGUGUGGUAGGGGAGACUGGAAUUCCUGGUGUAGCGGUGAAAUGCGCAGAUAUCAGGAGGAACACCGAUGGCGAAGGCAGGUCUCUGGGCCACUACUGACGCUGAGAAGCGAAAGCAUGGGGAGCGAACAGG